ensembl:lncRNA
ACCAGGACUAAACCAGGUCUGAACCAGGACUGAACCAGGACUGAACCAGGACUGAACCAGGUCUGAACCAGGACUAAACCAGGACUAAACCAGGUCUGAACCAGGACUAAACCAGGACUGAACCAGGUCUGAACCAGGACUAAACCAGGACUAAACCAGGUCUGAACCAGGACUAAACCAGGACUAAACCAGGACUAAACCAGGACUGAACCAGGACUAAACCAGGACUAAACCAGGUCUGAACCAGGACUAAACCAGGACUAAACCAGGACUAAACCAGGACUAAACCAGGUCUGAACCAGGACUAAACCAGGACUAAACCAGGACUAAACCAGGACUAAACCAGGUCUGAACCAGGACUAAACCAGGACUAAACCAGGUCUGAACCAGGUCUGAACCAGGACUAAACCAGGUCUGAACCAGGACUGAACCAGGACUGAACCAGGACUGAACCAGGUCUGAACCAGGACUAAACCAGGACUAAACCAGGU